rnacentral:piRNA from 1 species
UGAGAGGAGCUGGGUGGAGCACCGCC